rnacentral:rRNA from 1 species
AAACGUAGGAGGCUAGCGUUAUCCGGAUUUAUUGGGCGUAAAGCGCGUGCAGGCGGUCUAGUAAGUUGGAUGUGAAAGCUCCUGGCUUAACUGGGAGAGGUCGUUCAAAACUGCUAGACUAGAGAAUGGGAGAGGGAGGUGGAAUUCCGGGUGUAGUGGUGAAAUGCGUAGAUAUCCGGAGGAACACCAGUGGCGAAAGCGGCCUCCUAGACCAUUUCUGACGCUAAGACGCGAAAGCUAGGGGUAGC